UACGUAGGGGGCAAGCGUUGUCCGGAAUCAUUGGGCGUAAAGCGCGUGUAGGCGGCCCGAUAAGUCCGCUGUGAAAGUCCAGGGCUCAACCCUGGGAUGCCGGUGGAUACUGUCGGGCUCGAGUCCGGAAGAGGAGUGUGGAAUUCCUGGUGUAGCGGUGAAAUGCGCAGAUAUCAGGAGGAACACCAAUAGCGAAGGCAGCUCGCUGGGACGUGACUGACACUAAGGCGCGAAAGCGUGGGGAGCGAACGAGG
rnacentral:rRNA from 1 species